rnacentral:rRNA from 1 species
GAUGAACGCUGGCGGCGUGCCUAAUACAUGCAAGUCGAGCGAACAGACGAGGAGCUUGCUCCUCUGACGUUAGCGGCGGACGGGUGAGUAACACGUGGAUAACCUACCUAUAAGACUGGGAUAACUUCGGGAAACCGGAGCUAAUACCGGAUAAUAUAUUUAACCGCAUGGUUCAAUAGUGAAAGACGGUUUUGCUGUCACUUAUAGAUGGAUCCGCGCCGCAUUAGCUAGUUGGUAAGGUAACGGCUUACCAAGGCGACGAUGCGUAGCCGACCUGAGAGGGUGAUCGGCCACACUGGAACUGAGACACGGUCCAGACUCCUACGGGAGGCAGCAGUAGGGAAUCUUCCGCAAUGGGCGAAAGCCUGACGGAGCAACGCCGCGUGAGUGAUGAAGGUCUUCGGAUCGUAAAACUCUGUUAUUAGGGAUGAACAAAUGUGUAAGUAACUAUGCACGUCUUGACGGUACCUAAUCAGAAAGCCACGGCUAACUACGUG